rnacentral:lncRNA from 1 species
GUUGGGGAUCUUGUUGAUUCCUUGCUCGUCUCAAAGUUCGUUCAAAAUCGUCGUCAAAGUCAAAGAUAUGCUUAUGAACAGGUUGAGAACUUCGAGUCAUAAACCACCUAAAACAAGAAAACAAGUAAAAUCAGCAACUAGGAACAAAAACACAUGAAAAUAAACAAAAAGAAAUAACAAGGGAUUAGCAAAGUUGCUAAUCCCAACGGCGCCAAAAACUUGAUGCGAAAAUUAUCUUAACAUACAAAUUUAACCCUCUUUUGACAAUUGUAAUACAAGUAUAAGUAGGGAUCAUUCUGGACCGAGGAUUAGGAAGGCUUUCUAAUAACCUCUAAACUGACUCAAAAACAUAAAACUAAACUUAAAAACACUUAACAAGACUCACAAGACUCAAAGCAAACUUAAAAUACUCAAAACAGCUUAAAACAACCAAAUAAACUUAAACUAGACACUAGGAAUGACUUUGGACGAAAAUUGACUUUAACUUGAAUUAAAACACUUAAAAACACAAACUAAAACAUAUUUGAAACACUUUGAAACAAGAAACUAAAAGGGGGAUUUUGAUUUGGAUGAAGUUGAAACAAACAAACAAGUAUGAAAAACUAGACAGAUUGUAAAACAAAUUUGAGAAAUAAGAUGAUGGAUGGAAUAGCUAGAGGCUUUUUCUCCACACAUGACAUGUAUGCAAAUAACUUGAUUUCCAGUUACUACUUCAUUGAAUUAUGAACAACAAUGCUCCAAAUUAACCGUGACAUCACUAGUUAACUCUCAGAUUUUCCUUGUUUUAUUGGAUUGGAUGAC